AUGAGAGAGCCGUCCCCCGUCCUCUUCUCACGCCCAGAGCAGCGUCCCUCGGCUGAAGCGAGCGACCUCGUCUCUUUUGGCGGAUCAGAGAACGAGCUGCUUGAUGACUCAAUGUCACUCGCGGCUUCUGAAACAGAGGAUUGGGCCAGUGAUUCUGACCCCGCGCACAUGCCGUCACUUGAUCCCAUCGACGCCAGAGCUGGGAUGGAUGCCGAGCUUUUCCGCCUCCUCUCCAAAGCCGUCGAGGAGCUCGAUUUAGAGUGGGCUCCCCCUGAAGAUCCAACGCGCAGCAGACUGGACGAGUGGUACCUGCCGGGAUGCCGCCAGGCCCCCCGCCAGCGCGCUGCCCCGUUCUUCCCUGAAGUUCACGGCGAGCUGACUAAGUCGUGGCGUGCCCCCUUCUCGGCCUGCUUACGCACUACCUCCUCUGCAGCUCUCACUUCAGUGGAUGGCUCUCAGGAGAAGGGCAAUGAGCAAAUGCUGCCCCUGGACGAGGCCGUGGCUGCUCACCUCUGCCCCCCCCCCGUGGCUGUGGGGUGGAAAAGCACGAGAGCCCUUCCUUCUAAGCCCUGCAGGACUACCUCUGCCAUGGCUGGCAGAGACUAUACUUCUGCGGGCCAAGCUGCUUCAGCGUUGCACACCAUCGGCAUUCUUCAAGUGUUCCAGGCAAAGCUUCUCUGUUCUCUGGAUGAGUCUAGCUCUGAUGCACCCGCCUUUCGUGACCUCCACAGUGCCACGGAUUUGGCCCUGCGUGCCACAAAAGCCACGGCCCAGGCCAUCGGACGUUCCAUGGCCAACCUGGUUGUGCUUGAGCGCCACCUCUGGCUCAACUUGACUGAGAUCAAAGAGAGCGACAAGGUGGCCUUUCUCGAUGCCCCAGUCUCUUCACCCGGUCUCUUCGAGCCAGCUGCGGAGGGAUUCACCGAGCGUUUCACUGCAGCACAGAAGUCAUCCCAGGCCAUGCGACACUUCCUGCCCAAACGCUCCAGCUCGGUCUCUGCCUCGAGUCGCCCCAGGACUGCGCCGACUCAGCAUCAGAGCAAGCCUGCCCCUUCUACCUCACAGCCGGCGCCCCCUAAGGAGCAGCAUCAGCAAGCUCGCCCCGCUAAGCGCGCUAAACCGCCGAGACGUCAGGGCCCCCGGCCAAGGAUUGGUGCUGGACCCGAUGCCCUCCAAAUCUUUCUGAUCUUUGGGGAAGAAAGAGGAAGGGGCAAAGUCCUGCCACGGCUGGACCACCCCAAAAGCUCUCUCGCCUGCCUGCUCUGCGACCUGGGCCCACUUUUGUUGCGCCCACGCAAAGCGCCAUUAUUAUGGCGAACACAAAUAUUUCACAUUUUCAAAAAGAGAGCUUUUUCCUCUUCCACACUCGUCAGUGUCUAG
ensembl:lncRNA